rnacentral:tRNA from 1 species
ACUGUCGUCUAGCGGUUAGAACGCUGGCCUUGUAAUCCUGGGGUCUCGGGUUCGAUUCCCGGCGGU